AACGAACGCUGGCGGCAUGCCUAACACAUGCAAGUCGAACGAGACCUUUGGGUUUAGUGGCGCACGGGUGCGUAACGCGUGGGAAUUUGCCCUUGGGUUUGGGAUAACAGUUGGAAACGACUGCUAAUACCGGAUGAUGGCUUCGGUCCAAAGAUUUAUUGCCCAGGGAUGAGCCCGCGUAGGAUUAGCUAGUUGGUGAGGUAAAGGCUCACCAAGGCGACGAUCCUUAGCUGGUUUGAGAGGAUGAUCAGCCACACUGGGACUGAGACACGGCCCAGACUCCUACGGGAGGCAGCAGUGGGGAAUAUUGGACAAUGGGCGAAAGCCUGAUCCAGCAAUGCCGCGUGAGUGAUGAAGGCCUUAGGGUUGUAAAGCUUUUUUACCCGGGAUGAUAAUGACAGUACCGGGAGAAUAAGCCCCGGCUAACUCCGUG
rnacentral:rRNA from 1 species